UACGUAGGGCGCAAGCGUUGUCCGGAAUUAUUGGGCGUAAAGAGCUCGUAGGCGGCUUGUCACGUCGGGUGUGAAAGCCCGGGGCUUAACCCCGGGUCUGCAUUCGAUACGGGCUAGCUAGAGUGUGGUAGGGGAGAUCGAAUUCCUGGUGUAGCGGUGAAAUGCGCAGAUAUCAGGAGGAACACCGGUGGCGAAGGCGGAUCUCUGGGCCAUUACUGACGCUGAGGGAGCGAAAGGCGUGGGGAGCGAACAGG
rnacentral:rRNA from 1 species